AUUUUUUUUUUUGCCUCUAUGCUUCAUGUUCAUCCUGCCAAUCAUUACUGUCUUUGUUCGGUAUUGCUGUCCUUAUCCGGCACCACGGAUGUCAUUGUUGUUGCUUCCCCAGAAGAACUAAUGUUACUGCUACUAUUCCGGCCGUACUAGCUAUUGUAAACUGGAAAAAGAAGGAGAUCGCCACAUUUAAAUUCGACGGUUUUGACUAACUGAGUGACACAGGUUUGAAGAUGCAAUUUGAAGCUACGAGCGAUUAGUAGGCUUCCUUUAUGGUUUUAAUUGCUUUCAUCGAGUCCCCUCACUGUUGUCCCUUGAGAUUCUAUUCCAUAUAGAGGGGUAGGUUUAGUAUAUUAUAUUUGAGUUUCAUUUGGUUUCUUUUGUAUAAGAAUUAUUAUCAAUAAUAUUUAUGUGAUUAUUUUUAUUUGUAAAUGUUUGAAUUAUGACUUUAGUGAAAUAAAAACAAAAUUUUCUGGAA